UGUGUGUGUGUAUCUGUGUACCCAUGGAGAUGUGCAGGUGUGUGUGAAAACUUUCCAGGAGAAAUGAUGGUUAUGCUGGUAUCUUAAAAAUAAACACAAAAUAAAAUAAAUAUAAUAUAGUCUCCAUCAUCCAUGCAGUUGCUGCCACUGGGAACCAGACAGGUAAGCCUGAGAUCUGACUAUAUGGGGUUGGUGGCAAUGACCUCACCACUGUCACACCAGAUGUACAGAUUUCAGUGUGAAGACACUAGAAACAUAAAAAACCAAGAAAAUAUGAUACCUCCAAAAGAAUGCAAUAAUUCCUCAACCACAGAUUCCAAUAAAAAUGAAAUUCGUAAAAUUCUGGAAAAAGAAUAUAAAAUUAUGAUACUAAAGAAGCACAGUGAGAUACAAGAUAAUUUUAAAAAAUCAGAAAAAAGAAUUCAGAACAUUAGUAAAAAAUUUAGCAAAGAGGUAGAUAUCAUAAAAAAAGAACAAAAUAGAACUUCUGGAAUUGAAGAAUUCCUUGAAUAAAAUAUAAAAUACAAUUAAAAACUUCAACAAUAUAUUAGAUCAAGCAAAAGAAAGAAUCUCAGAAUAUAAAGACAGAUUUUUUGAAAUAACCCAGUCAGACACAAAGAAAUAAAAAAUAAUAGAAAAGAAUAAAUAAAACUUUCAUGAUAUAUGGUAUACCACACAGCAACCAAAUAUAUAAAUUAUUGAUAACCCUGAAGGCAAAUAGAAAAUGUUUGAAAUCCUAUUUAAUAAAAUAAAAAAAAUUUCCCAAGUCCAGCAAGAGAGGUAGACAUCCAGAUAUAGGAGUCCCACUAAUCCCCAAACAAAUACAGUGUAAAAGUUCUUCUCCACAUUAUAGCCAAACUGUCUAAUGUCAAUGAC
rnacentral:lncRNA from 10 species